rnacentral:rRNA from 1 species
GAAGGGUGCAAGCGUUACUCGGAAUUACUGGGCGUAAAGCGUGCGUAGGUGGUGGUUUAAGUCUGCUGUGAAAGCCCUGGGCUCAACCUGGGAAUUGCAGUGGAUACUGGAUCACUAGAGUGUGGUAGAGGGAUGCGGAAUUUCUGGUGUAGCAGUGAAAUGCGUAGAGAUCAGAAGGAACAUCCGUGGCGAAGGCGGCAUCCUGGGCCAACACUGACACUGAGGCACGAAAGCGUGGGGAGCAAACAGGAUUAGAUACCCUGGUAGUCCACGCCCUAAACGAUGCGAACUGGAUGUUGGGUGCAACUUGGCACCCAGUAUCGAAGCUAACGCGUUAAGUUCGCCGCCUGGGGAGUACGGUCGCAAGACUGAA